UCGGGAUUACACGCGGAUCAGCUGACGCCAUUGAGCUUGGUGGGUGACGUCAAUCACUCUUAUGAUGUCAUCUGCGCAGCGCUGCUGGCCUCACGCGCUCUUCACCGCAACUACAGUGAACUACGGUUCAAAACGCUCGUGCUCUCCGGGCUGAACCUGCGCGUGGACUGAAUGAAAGUACCAGAGUCGCCUCGCAGCAUUUUCCUGAUGGUUUGACGCACAUGGUUCACUGUGAGAUAACCAAGCCCUGCAGGUCUCAGGCUUAUCAAAGCACAGCUCCAAACUCAUAUCAGAGUUUCCACUGAGGAAGUGUGGCCCAUGAAAACAGAUACCAGGGAUGGGGAAAGCAACUGUGAAACUGCAGAUACAAGGUCACCCCAUAUGAUUAUAUGGAGCUGUCUUUGUGAUGGCUCUUUUCAUGGAGGAAGGGGAAACAAGUGACCCUGUGAUGUCACAAGAUGGAAUUCUGUGAUGAUGGCAGUGGACCGGAUGGAUCUGGUCCAUGGCCUGUGUCACACAAACCUUGCAGAAUUGACGAGAACAACUUAGCUGUAAAAAAAGGACUACUGUUCUCUCUAGUGGAACAUACAUUGUAUCUUGUUCAGUUGUUUUAAGAGUACUAAAAAUGGUCAAAACA